UACGUAGGCAGCAAGCGUUGUUCGGAGUUACUGGGCGUAAAGCGUGCGUAGACGGCUAUCUAAGUCGGGUGUGAAAGCCCCGGGCUCAACCUGGGAAUUGCAUUCGAGACUGAAUAGCUAGGGUACGGUAGAGGGAAGCGGAAUUUCCGGUGUAGCGGUGAAAUGCGUAGAUAAUCGGAAGGAACAUCAGUGGCGAAAGCGGCUUCCUGGACCAGUACCGACGUCAGGCACGAAAGCCGUGGGGAGCAAACAGG
rnacentral:rRNA from 1 species